UAUAAUUAUUUUAUUUAAAUUAAUGAAAUAAAUUAUUUAAUAAAAUAUUUAAUUUUUUACUAUUUUAUAUGGUAAAUUGCAUUUCUAUAAAUAAUUUGACCAAUGAGAAUUUUAUAAAAAUAAGAAAUAGAAAAUAAUAAAGCUUUUAUAAAGUUAGUUUCAAAUAUAUUUUUUAAUUUAAUUUACAUACUUUAAUUAGAUUUAUAACCGGGGUUUCAAAAAAUGUACAAACAAGUACCUUUUCUAUUUUAUAUAUUAAUUAUAUCAUAAUUUUAUUAUCGAGAAUAAUAUUUCAAAUUUACAAAUAAUAUUUGGAUUUUCAAGUUUUUAAAAAUAUUUUACCUUUUUUAAUUUUAUCAAAAUUGGAUUAAUAACGUGGGAUUUAUUUUCGCUAAGGUACAAUUGGGUUUAAUUUUCCAACAGCGAUAGUGGUCCACGGUUUUGUCGAAAAUUAUAGUUUUGUAACCCCCUUAUUAAGGGGGCCUACAACGAACAGCCCCCAAGUGAAUUUAUCUCGGGCAAAUUUGGGUAAAUCGGCUGGUUUUAAAUUAGCAAAAACCUAAUAAUUGCAUAUAAAGGAAAUUAGUAAUAAAAAUAAAUUAUUAAAUUAAUCGGGUACCCUAAAGUUUAAUAGGUAAAAAUUAAAUUUAUAAGGAGUUUAACCCUAUUAAUUUUAAAUAGAUAUUAUAAAUUGGAGACAUCGGGGUUAUAUAAAGUUAUUAGCGGGUAUUUAUUUAAAUUCCAUAUAUUUUAAAAAAGGAAUUCAAUUAAUUCCCGUACGUAAUAAAUAAUAAUAAUAAUAUAUAUAAUAAGUUGGUAAGAUAUAAGAUUAUAUACGUUAAUUAUAAAACCUAUAUCGUUUCCAAAUAUUGCAGUAGGGUUUUUUACAAAUAAUAUAAUUUUUAUUAAUAAGUUUUUAAACCAUUACAUUUAAAAUAGGGUUUCCGUUAAAAUAUUAGUUUCGGUUUCUGGGAUGUUUAAAAUAAUAUAUAAUAUUAGUUCUUUUUACAUUUCCACGUUGUAAAACCCCCAAAUAAAAUAAAUAAAUAUCCGAAAAUGGAUUUUAAAAUUUUUCCCAACCCCGGCAAAAUUGUUAACUUAUUUAAAGCAAAUAAUAUUAAAUUUUUAAAACCACCAAUUAGAAUAUCUGGUGGUAAGUUGGUUUUAAUUACGCUGUUUCCACAAUUAAUUAUUAGGAAUUUAAUAUUUGUUAAAUAAUAAAAUAAACUUUUAAUUGCCGUUAAAUAAAUUAUAAUAAGUUUUAUAAAAAAAUAAAUAUCUAUUAAAUUGCAAGACCAAUAUCCGGGCGCGUUAAUAAUAUUAAAUAUAUUGCAAUUUAAAACCUAAUAGCAGGUAAUUGUAAAUAAAAAUUGUUAAUAUUAUAAUCGUUACAGGAGAUUUAGGGGGUAAACCCUAGGUGCAGCGUAGUUGUUAACGGGUGUUAAAAGCGCUAAAUGCACUACUAAAAUGGAACGUUGUACGCAAAUGGACGUUAAUAUAUUGGUGGAAAAAUUUUGCUUUAUCCUCUUAUAUAUUUUCCAAGAUUAAAAUGGGGGUCGGCACCCCAAAAAGGCUUCCGGUGCCGCAUAUGAAUUUCCGAAAAAUUAAUUUGUAUGGGUUUGUUAAAAAACACCUAUAUUUGCUAAUAAACCAUUUUUAAAUUUGCACGCAAAAGUAAACUUUUUAACCCGGUAUAGGGUAAAUAAUCCCACUCGUUAAUUUUUAAUCGCAAUUUUUGCAAUUAACAAAUUAAUAGAAUUCCAACCACCCCAUUUCGGAAUUAUAUAUUAUAGGCUAUAUAUAAAUAAAAGUGGGUUUAUUACAUGCAAGAUAAUAUAUAUAAUUAAUAUAAAUAAUAGUAGAAUAUUUAAAUUUAAUAUUAUAACAAAUAGCGGGGUUAAAAUUUAAUUGUUUAGAGUUUUUUAUAAAGAAUAGGUCUUUUAAUUUUUUUUACUAUUUUUUUAAAUUUUAUUUUCAACCGUAUAAUAUUUUUUCUAGUUGUAUAAUUAAAAUAUUUUCCGAUUAUAACCCAUUUCUAUUACAAUUUCAGUGGUUCUAAAUUUGGAAAAUUUAACCAUUUAUUAAGAUGUUUGGAAAAUUGCACAUAAGUAUUUAUAUCGGUAGAAUAUUAUUUAAAACAUAUAAAUAAAAUCGAUUUGUUUUGUUUCCCAGUUUUAUAUAUUAAUUAUAACUAAGAAUAUACGCCAGGUAAACGGUAUAUUAACGUUAAUAAAAAUUCAGUAUAAUUUAGGUUUUCGACUUGUAAAAACCCCCUAAUCACAAACUUGGUUUUGUUUUUAUAAAUUUAUUAUUUUUAUCCUUUUUUAAUUUAAUUACCGGCCGGGUAAAAACCCAUUUUAAGUUUACAAAUAUUUGAAUUUUAGGGAUAAAACGGAAGUUCUUGCAAUAAUAAUUUGGUCGAAUUUGAACGUUAAAAUUAUUACCCUUUUAAUAUUUUUGAAGUUUUUUAGGGCCUGUUAAUAAUUAUUUGGUUGGCCUUUUUAAUGGGCUUUCUUAUUUUCUUUUGGUUAAAUAAACAAAAAUAAUAUACGUAACUAAUAUUUAUUUAAUUUGGGAUUUCGAGCUGCGAACUUCAUUCUCUAUUUUAUAUUUUAAAUACCGAAAAUAACGGAAUUUCUAUUAUUUUAAAUUUCAAAUUUUAAAUUAAGAACCGUUACCGUUAUAAAUUUCAAAAGGUAAAUAGUAAAUUGUAUAAGUUUAUAAAGAAUUAUAUUAGCGGUUAAACGCCUUAUAACCGGUGGUGAAAAAUAACUAUUUAUUAAACUUAAAUUCUUGGCGUUAUAAUUUUCGUUUUUAAAUUUGGAUUUAAAAUCCCUUUUUAAAUUUAAAUUGUCCCUUUUUAAAAUUUGUAACGUUUCCCUUCAAAUAAUCAGACUGUCAACGGAUAUAUUUUUCUUAAAAAUGUUACGGUAAAGAUUUUAUAUACGGCCUGUUUAACUCGGGCGUAAAUUAACGUUAUAAAAUUAAAUUAAUAAAUUGAAAGGUUUACUGUUUUUAUUUGGGGAAUUAAUGUGCUGGACUUUUGGCGUUUUUCCGACGGUAUAAUAAUUUGGUAUACGGUAUUAAUAACCCAAGAGUGGUUUAAUUUAAAUUUACACCGUAAUUUAAAUUAAAUUUCGGAAUAAAACCUAUGAUAAAAUGUUAAUUUUGUAUUAAUUACCCUUAUGCGGUUAAUUAAACUAAUUACGGCCGGUAAUGAAUAAUAUUAUAAAUAUAAUGGCACACUUACCGUUAUAAUAAUAAAUUCAAGUUUAUUUAAAGUAAUUUUAGCGGAUUAUUUUGUUAACCCGUUUUGGCCGCUAUUACAAAAGUUGGAAAUAUUAAAAUAAAAACAAUGGAAUAAAACCCGUAGAUAAUUGUUAAAAUAUUAAAACCUUUCAUUAAGUAUUAAGCCCGUAGGUCCGGUUUUAUCACGUUAUAGGAUCGACCACCGAAAACGUAAUUUUCGAUUUAUUAAUAAUAAAAGUUAGGAUUAGAAAUUAUUAUAUAAUUUUUUAUAAAAUGGAAAAUAGCAAGGGGUGUAAGGAAUGCCCUUUUAUUUAUACGUUUAAUAAAGAUAAUUUCAAUGCAAAUAACAUAAUUAAUAGCUCUAAUAUUGUUAAAAUUAGGUAAACCGUUUAUAUUUCUAACAGUUUUUUUAAAUAAUAAUAACCUUAUACACCCUAAACGCCUAUAUUAUAACAGGGUCUUUUAGACCUGGAUUUUAUUAUAAUCGCCUAUAAUUCCAUCUUUUUAAACUGUUACCAAACUAUUUAUUGGUAAUCCAAUUCAAAUUAUAAAGAAAAUAACUUAUAAAAACCUGCAUUAAAUCCAAUAAUAAAAAAAGUUCUAACAACGGAUUUCUUAUAGUGGAACCUUUUUUUUCCGGAACUAAUUCUUUUAUAUUUAAUUGUAUAAAAAGUUAUUCAACGGUUUAUCAAAUUUAUAAAACUUAAUUUUAUAUGGAUUUUUAGGGUUUAUUAUAUUAAAUUUUUAUAUUAUAGGUAAGUUUACAAUUGUACUUGUAUAUUAUUCGGGAUAUAGUUUUUCUAUUACCAUAUAUCUUUCCGGUUCCGAAAUUGGUAUAAAUUUGAUAAUUGUUUUAAUUUUUAGGGAUUUAAUUAUUUAACUUUACCUCCAACGGGGUAACGUAACCUUUUAUAACCCCUUAUAAUAUUAAACUAAAAACAAUAUUAUAUUUACCAAUUAUAUAAACGUAAUCCGAAAUUAUAAAUGUAAAACUUCAGAUAAGAAUAUUGCAUUUUUUUUUACCUCCAAAUACAACGAAUUUUUGGCAGUAUUCAAACGUUUCCACAUUUUGUAAUUGCAAUUAUAAAAGGUAUUAUUCAAUAAUACGCCUUUUCUAUAAUAAUAUAUCAACCUAUUAAUAAUAUUUGUUACGAACGAAAGAAAAUAUAUAAUAUGUUUAGUUUCAGGGUUUAUUUUUGAAAUCCAAAGUUCUAUAAUUAAACCGCCUCGCCUUGGUUUAUUCGUACUUUUGCUUAUACCUGUGGAUCCAACUAGAAAAGUUUCUGGUUCGGGUCUGAGGAUAAUUUGUCAGUUUUUGUCGUUCGUUUCAAAUUAUUAUUUAUAUUAUUAUUAAAUAUAUAAUUUGCUCCGUAUUAACAAAUUAAAUACAAAUUGUAAGAAUAUACCGUUCGGACGUUAAAUAUAGCAAUUGAUUAAGUUUUUAACCAUAAUUGAGUUUUUAUUUAAAAUAUCCAAAUUGACGAAAUUAGAAUUAAAAUUGGAAAUAUCCCUUACUUGCAAUCCAAAUUUUGUUUAAAUAUUUAAUUGUCACGUAUUUGCCCGACGAUAUAAUAAAUACGAUAAUAAAUUGAAAAAUCCUGCAAUAUUUCCAUUUAAUUUAAUUUUAAUACUUAAAUUGGCCCAGCCUUAUUUCGCAAAAAUGGUCAACACAUUUAUUUAUUUUACCAGCCAUAUAAUUUGUCCAUUAAUUAUAUUGGCGGAAAGAAUACAGCGCGUUUUAAUAUAAGGACAUUUCGUCGAUUUUCGUGGUUGACGAGCAAAUUAUAUCGCCACGCCAAAUAAAUACCGCUACCAAUAAUAAUAUUUUUAUUAUAAGAAUUGCAAAAAAAAUAAACCCCCCACCUAUACACGUAAACCGGAUAAUAAAACUUUUAAUAAUUAAAUUCUACUAUUAAAAAUGUCAUAUAAUAUUAAAUAUAUUAUUUUCAACGUUCAACCUAAUUUCUUCGGUAAUAUUCCCUUUUGGAUAACCCGCAAUACAUUUAUUUCCAUUUUCGGGCUUUAUUUCCCCGUUUUUAACGUUUUUCAACCUUUUAGUAACCAGCUUUCGAGAUAAAAAUAAAUAUAAAUUUAUAAAUUUUAUAUUCGAUUAAUUUUAAUAUUUUUAUAA
rnacentral:sRNA from 1 species